rnacentral:sRNA from 1 species
AAGAUCCUCCAAAGGUCGAGGCCUCCCCUUCCUCGGCAGGCUCGGCAGCCGCCGCCGGCGAGAGGCCGCCGCCGCCACCACCACCACCACCCUCGUCUGCGGCAAUGGCGGCGCGGUGGCGUGCUCCGGCUAGGCUAAAAUCAAUUAAUUAGUCUCCGGGAGGGUAAUUAACGGGGGUGAUUAAGAUUAAGCUCGAUCCGAGUUCAGUUUAGGCGAUGAUGAUUCAGCUGCAGCUUCGACUGCAGCUGUGUCCGCAUUUGUAAUUACAGAAAAGUUUUGGUGCUAAUUUGUACAUGGUUUUUCGUUGCAUUCUGA